UAAUAAACCCGACAAAAAUGAAAAUACUUUUUGGAGCAGCCAUAUUCAUAUUGGGCAGCACCUUUCGCAAAAAGAUUGAAAUGAUGGCGGGGCUACAG
rnacentral:sRNA from 1 species